AUUGAACGCUGGCGGCAGGCCUAACACAUGCAAGUCGAACGGUAACAGGAAGCAGCUUGCUGCUUUGCUGACGAGUGGCGGACGGGUGAGUAAUGUCUGGGAAACUGCCUGAUGGAGGGGGAUAACUACUGGAAACGGUAGCUAAUACCGCAUAACGUCGCAAGACCAAAGAGGGGGACCUUAGGGCCUCUUGCCAUCGGAUGUGCCCAGAUGGGAUUAGCUAGUAGGUGGGGUAACGGCUUACCUAGGCGACGAUCCCUAGCUGGUCUGAGAGGAUGACCAGCCACACUGGAACUGAGACACGGUCCAGACUCCUACGGGAGGCAGCAGUGGGGAAUAUUGCACAAUGGGCGCAAGCCUGAUGCAGCCAUGCCGCGUGUAUGAAGAAGGCCUUCGGGUUGUAAAGUACUUUCAGCGGGGAGGAAGGGAGUAAAGUUAAUACCUUUGCUCAUUGACGUUACCCGCAGAAGAAGCACCGGCUAACUCCGUG
rnacentral:rRNA from 1 species